UACGUAGGGUGCGAGCGUUGUCCGGAAUUACUGGGCGUAAAGAGCUCGUAGGUGGUUUGUCGCGUUGUCCGUGAAAACUCACAGCUCAACUGUGGGCGUGCGGGCGAUACGGGCAGACUGGAGUACUGCAGGGGAGACUGGAAUUCCUGGUGUAGCGGUGGAAUGCGCAGAUAUCAGGAGGAACACCGGUGGCGAAGGCGGGUCUCUGGGCAGUAACUGACGCUGGAGGAGCGAAAAGCGUGGGGAGCGAACAGG
rnacentral:rRNA from 1 species